ACCGUGCAAAGGUAGCAUAAUCAUUAGUUUUUUAAUUGAAAGCUGGAAUGAAUGGUUGGACGAGAAAAUUUCUGUCUCAAUUUAAAUUUAAAUAGAACUUUAUUUUUAAGUAAGAAAGCUUAAAUUAAUUUAAAAGACGAGAAGACCCUAUAGAGUUUUAUAUUUUUUAAUUUACUAAUUAAUAGUAUAAUAAAAUUUGUAUAUUAAAAAUUAUUUUAUUGGGGUGAUAGAAAAAUUAAAAGAACUUUUUUUUUAUUUUAACAUUUAUAUAUGAUUAUUUGAUCCGUAUUUUACGAUUAUAAGAUUAAAUUACCUUAGGGAUAACAGCGUAAUUUUUUUUGAGAGUUCAUAUCGAAAAAAGAGUUU
rnacentral:rRNA from 1 species